rnacentral:rRNA from 1 species
GACGAACGCCGGCGGCGUGCUUAACACAUGCAAGUCGAACGGAAAGGCCCUGCUUUUGUGGGGUGCUCGAGUGGCGAACGGGUGAGUAACACGUGAGUAACCUGCCCUUGACUUUGGGAUAACUUCAGGAAACUGGGGCUAAUACCGGAUAGGAGCUCCUGCUGCAUGGUGGGGGUUGGAAAGUUUCGGCGGUUGGGGAUGGACUCGCGGCUUAUCAGCUUGUUGGUGGGGUAGUGGCUUACCAAGGCUUUGACGGGUAGCCGGCCUGGGAGGGUGACCGGCCACAUUGGGACUGAGAUACGGCCCAGACUCCUACGGGAGGCAGCAGUGGGGAAUAUUGCACAAUGGGCGGAAGCCUGAUGCAGCAACGCCGCGUGCGGGAUGACGGCCUUCGGGUUGUAAACCGCUUUCGCCUGUGACGAAGCGUGAGUGACGGUAAUGGGUAAAGAAGCACCGGCUAACUACGUG